ensembl:miRNA MIR203B microRNA 203b
GCGCCCGCCGGGUCUAGUGGUCCUAAACAUUUCACAAUUGCGCUACAGAACUGUUGAACUGUUAAGAACCACUGGACCCAGCGCGC